CUGGAAGAGACGAUGAUGUUUCCAAGCACAUAUCUGAUUUAUAUGUGUGGAUGAUAACAAUGCUGAGUCUUUUCGG